UUUCCCUUAUUUUUCCUAAGCUGUCGACUUCUCUUCCCCAAGAACAGAACCAUCUUUUUCUUCUUUCAAAUUUAAUUCCGUAAGAGAAAUUCAAGUAGUAGCUGCAAUACCUUAAAAGAAAAGGUGAAUUGUUCGAUUCUCUAUCUCUCUAUGAUUUUAACUUGAAGAAAAUUUCUGUUUUGAAAUCUAGGGUUUCUUCGAGAAUUUGGAGAUUUUAUGCUAGAGUUAAAAUAUGAUUGUAAUAUUGAGAUAUAUUAUGUUUUUGAUGUUCCUAAGCAUGAUUAUGGUGGUUAAUUGUAUUAAUUCUUACUUGAUUUCGAGUUUACUCAAGUUAGUAUGAACCCUAGGUUUGAGGUUGAGAGUUCUGAUUAUGUUCUUGAAUAAUUGGACUCAUAUACGUGUUCUUGAGUUGGAAUUAUGUCAUAUAUGAGUAAAUUACGAGUUUACACCAUAUAGGAUGUGUGAUUGAGUUUGUUAGUUUAAUGAAAAUUGGGGCUUUUGAGUUAAGAAGGUUUAUAUGCUAUUAAUUGAUGGAUACAAAUAUAUUAUGAUGUGAUUUAUUAGAUGUUGAAGAUUAUAUGAGCCUAAUGUGUGGAUAUUGUUAUAAGAAUUGUUAUGUUAUAACUUGUUGCUUGUUGUGUUAACAUGAGUUAAGUUGAAGCUAAAGCAUUCUAGUAUGUAUUAUGAUCUGUAUUUGAGUCCUACACAUUUUAUUUGGUCAAAGUAUGAGUUAUAUGUUGAAUUGAAACAAGAUCAUUGCUGUCAGUUUUUAGCUUGGCAGAACAGUGUCUUGGGGGAUGAUUUUGAUGAUGUUCCCGUAGUCCAAAUGAUUUGAAAUUUUUACUGUAAUAACUUCAUCAUGAGUAGUACGUUUCUGCAAAAUUUCAGCUAAAUCCGAGACCAUUAGAUGUGUCAAACGAUUUUCUGAAAUGUACUGCGCGAAGCAGCGAAGUUCAGUGGCAGAUUUUGCCUUUUGUGAUAUAAUUUCUUAUACACUUGAGAUAUUGUGUUUUUGUAACUUUCUUAUAAAAAUAGACUCUGAGAGAUUUCUAAAAAAUGUAAAGUUUGUAUUUUUCUUUAAAGAGGUUGAUUUUAUAGGAUAUUUCAAAGUUGAGAUUCAUAUAUGAUUACAUAUUUGAGAUUUCUUACUUGAGCAAGUUAUUAAAUAGAACUAUGCUAAGUGAUUGAUGUUUAGUAUUAAUUGUAAGCUAAUCUAUAUAGAAUGGAUUAGUUUACUCUUAAGCUUUUCUCAAUUUGAGAUAUCCAAGAGAUGUGAUGUUACUAUUUAGUCUUUAGUUAAGUCCAUAUAAGUAGAAUACUCAAAUUAGAGGAUGCAACUUUCAAGUGAUAGAAGUUUCAUUCAAGAUUUACUUUCUAUUUACUUAUUUAUUAUCCAAUCUUACGUGGGAACCUCAUUAUAAUGAAGGUUCGAGUGGCAGUGUAGAAUGAACAAGCAAGGACUUCUAUUUCAUUAAGCGUAUCAGGUGGGCUUACUAACUCAAGAAGUAAAGAUGCAUACUUUAUUAUAUAAAGUUUGAGUGUAUGCAUUUAUUUUCCAAUUAUUGACUUGCCAAUAUUUGAGAUUUGUAUGAUACCAUCUACAUAGAACAACGAAUUCGGGUCCUGAGCGAGUCAGGAUUUGUGUACACAGAGUUGACAGUUAACCUUUGUGUUAGCUUGUCAUCGUGUUUGAGAAGGAGGCCUACUUCUCAACACUCAGAGUUAUAUGAUGCGUAGAUAUGGUACAUACAUGUUAAUGUCUGCAGACGUAUAUGAUGUUAUGAUGAUUAUAGAGAAGUUUUACAGUUUUUGCGUGCACAGGUUAUUUAAGUAAAACUCCUGUGUGAUGCUUGAGAUGGCAAGUUCAAUAUAUAGCUCUAAGAGCAAGCUUUUAAGUUUUUUCGGCAUGACCACUGAGUGCUUUUUGGUACUCAGCCCUGCGUAUGUUUUUAAAUAUGCAGGUUAAGCUGUGGUGCAGAUGGUAGCGAGCAGAGCAAAUUCUUUGGUGUAUAUGU
rnacentral:lncRNA from 1 species